rnacentral:rRNA from 1 species
UACGGGGGGAGCAAGCGUUGUUCGGAUUUACUGGGCGUAAAGGGCGCGUAGGCGGUCAGCACAAGUCAGUUGUGAAAUCUCCGGGCUUAACUCGGAAAGGUCAACUGAUACUGUGCGACUAGAGUGCGGAAGGGGCAACUGGAAUUCUCGGUGUAGCGGUGAAAUGCGUAGAUAUCCGGAGGAACACCGGUGGCGAAGGCGGCUUCCUGGACCGACACUGACGCUGAGGCGCGAAAGCUAGGGGAGCAAACAGG